GAAUUAAUGAGAAACAGGUUUGGAUCAGCUCUCUCGCAGGUUACCAGCAUGUUUGUCCUUCCUAUGCGUGGGAUUUGCCUGUGUAUCGGUGUGUUGGACUGUGUACACGAGGUGGCGACAGCUCUUCUUUGUGCUGGGCCACGAGGGGGACCCAGAGGCAUAGGCCAGUCAAAGCCGUUAGCUUCCAGCCUGGAUUUUCUGAAAGGAGCUUUUUUGUCUCCUAGCUUUAGUUUUCAGGAAUCUUUUCACUACUCACCUCCAUGCUUUCUGUGGGAAAAUCUGAGAAGGGCUCUUACCAAACAAAUUGCUUUAGGUAGUAAAUGAUUGCUGAGCAGACGGAGAAAGACUGUAUCUUCUAGGGCAAUAGUUAUAAAUCAUGUGAAGACAUGAGGAGGAGAGCAUCUGCCCUGAUGUAUUGUACUGUGGGUGCAUACAAGAAAAACAUUUUUUAAAAAGUCAGCAUCUGGAAUUUUCCUUUUAUUAGCAUUUUUGAACAUUUAGUCCUGCAGACAAAUGUAGAUGUGAUGAUACAGUUCCACAAAUUAGAGGAAAACCUUAUUAAAAAUGAAGUUGCUCCACAAAUAUAAUAAAUUGGAGACUUUCUGUAAUAGUCAGCUUUGCUGCUGCUGCUGUUACUCCAACAGCCAUUCUGUUUCUAAAAUGCCACUGCAUGUGGAAACAGGACAUUUCUUCUACAGCAAUAGAAAACAUCCUUGAUAUCUCCUGUUUUGGUAUGGAAAUAGCAGCUCUAUCUGCAUAUGGACUGACUCAGCAGCUUCAUUAAGUAGUCCUGAGAAAUACCUUUCCUGGUGAGGAGAUCUCACAUGCCUUCACAGUGGGCUGCUUCCCCUUCUUCUACUGCACAUGGUCAGCAGACACAGGGUAGGGUUACGUCCGUUGCAUUGAGUCUGUUCUUCUGCUGCCCACUUAUGCUGUUUCAGUCAAUGUAAAUGAUAGCUAUGUUUCUAUCAUUACAAGAGUUAUAUAUACACAAGAGUUAUAUUAUAGAGCUCCCCACUAGGUAGGGGAACCAGGAAUUAUUUUACUGCAGAGACAGUUUCUUGUUAUUCAAUGGAAAACUUAUGUUGGUGAGUGACAGUGUCAUAAUUUGGCCAAAGACUAAAUUAAGCAAUGCUGUGUUGCAUCUAUACAGCACCCUCAGACUGAGAUCAAGUUUAAUUACAAUUGCUGUUAAACCCACUCAGUUUGUUCUUGGAGUGUCACCCCUAACUCAGUGACAGGGAGGAGGGGCCCUUGGGGCUGAGUCAGGAGCAGGGCCAAGAGUGGCCUGGGCCUGGUCUAGGAAGAGACCAUGGUCUCACCCUCCUGCUGUCAACUCACAGUCCACCUCUGCAGGCCUGGCAGCACUGCAGAGCUGCUCUUUGGUCACACACCUGCCAGAGAGGCCCUGCAGGGAUUUCCCGAGAUCUUGCAUGCAGGGCAGGCCAUGCAGAAUUCUGUCUGCUGCAAGGAGCGAACUUUUAUUUCCACCUCUGUGUUGUGUACUGGGAAAAUAGAGUAAAAAGUGCAGUGACAAACUUAUAUUAAAGAUGGUUCCCUUCCCUCUCUGCUUUUUCUGGCAGCAGCAGAACAUGCACCAACAACACACCUUCCAUUACUAAUAUUUUGAAACCCAGAGCAGGAGAGUGCCUCAAACCGCAGCCUUAUAGCGUAAUGAAGAAUACACACAGCUGCAGUAACAACCACAUAAUUAUUUAAUUAGUUUUUGACAGCUUCAAAUUGCACAGGCAAAGGAAUGCAUGAACCACACAUGGAAACCUGCCAGCAAAGGUUUUACACGUACGCAGAUGGUUUUAGCUAUUGUAAGCGCAAAGCCAGGUUGUUGUACAUUUACUGCAGAACCUAACAGCACAUCAUGCACUGCAGAUUUAUACCAGGGGAAUAAAAAUGCUAUGUGUAAUUAUUUCUUCCCCUUUAUGCCGUAGUGUUUCUUUCAUUGUAUUUAACUUUCCGUAGCUGAGUCCUGUGAGACCAAAGAUGGGAAUAUUUUAGCAUUAACUUAAGUAAUCUGUAAAGUAACAGCUUCUUUGGGCUUUUGGAAUAAGCAGCCAUAAUAUGACUAAUUAACAUUAUAUAUCACUUUCUAUUUUAAAGUCCUCUUAUGGAUAUGAAUUAACACCUCUGUUAAGAGGUUAACUUUUGGUAUCUUUAUUUUGAAAAAGAGAAACCUGAAGCUCAGAGGAGUAUAAUAACUUGCCAGAGGCUCAAGCGUGAUUCAGGGACAAAAGAGACAGCAAACUAAGAAUUUUCUUAGUUCUCAUUUAGCUCUGUGGAGAGCUAGAACAAGAAAGUUCAAUAUAGAAAUAAAGGAAAAAGAAUUGCCUGUCACAGAACUGAUGGGGAGGGAACUGGCACUAGUAUCUAUCCGUCUUUGGAAAAUAGAUUAUUCCAGAGGGGAAGAUAAUAAUUUAGGAGCGAAGCAAAGCCUAAUGUACUGUAAAUAUUUGCUCUUCUGCUGCUGCAGAGCCAACACCCAUCCCUCAUGUCACUCCGAAGUGUUUAUAAUUUCCAUGUGUUGCAAGCUCCAUGAUUUUGUAUUGGAGCGGAAGUGAUUUCUUGUGAGUGCACCUAAUUAAGGCUAACAGUUUAAAUAAAACAUGGAUUAAUUCAAAACUUUACUCUGAGCUCUAAAUGAACACAAACUUUGUCUGAGGCUUAAAAAGUUAAGUCCUCUCUUUUCCCACAUAAUUUCAGUUUUCAUAUUUUCCAGUCUUUGCUUUUUAUGGUUCUGGCUGGGAUAGGAAAUGCUAAAAGCCCACAAGAAAAGGUUAUUCCCAGAGAGCUAUGUAAGAUAUUCACGACAAAACCCUAAAGCAUGUGGAACACAUGUGGUUUCAAGUUUCACAAGAAAGUCAAAAUCCAGACUCUGUUGAAGUUUAUGACGUGGUUUGAAUGAAACUAGUCCCAUUUUCAAACAAAUCUGGUCAGCUUCCUGGUUUUGAGAUGGAACCAUCCAAAAUCACAGUUUAGCAAGGCCUGGGGAGAAAACUCAGUGGUGCCCAGCAGGUGAGAGAUGGGCACUGGGAGGAGCAUUGGAGCUGAAAAAGUGAGCACAGUGCUGAUGGGUCUCCUAAUGCAGAGCACUGUAGUGAGAAGUUGUAUUGAGGUCAGUGAUGGGACACACCUCUGAAAUGCAGAUAACAUGCGCUGCUGGAGAGGCUGGGGGGCUCCCAUCAUGGCCCUCAGAGAGCAUUCCACUCCUCCUUUACAGAUGCUCCCAGUACACACUGGAGAAUAAAAGUUAGAAGGCGACAAAUACUUCAGGACUGCACUCACACUAUGUUGAGUUCUGUAGAAUUUUUGCUGACAACCUUGAAGCCAGAGGGAAACCACAGCUUUGUUUUACUUAAAAAGGUCUCUGACUAAGAAACUGAAAGACUGUUAAGAAACUGUUAGCAUCUGUGAUGAUACCACGUCCAAAGAAAUCUUUGAAAAGGCCAAAUCAUGUGAAGGAUAUUUGCUUUAUUGUCCUGCAGUAAUACUCUGGAAAUUACCAUUAAAGGAAUAUUUUGCUGAGAAAAUAAAAGCUGCUUUCUCCUGAGGCCAAAAUUUAAGCAAAGAGGACAGGAGAUGUUUUGAGACAGAAAGUACUGCCUGGGAUUAAAAAGAUACUGUUCCCCAAUUCUGCUUGGGAUGUCAGAUGGUGUGAGGACAAACAGGGUCAAUUAGUAUUCUCUUUCAUCAUCACAGAUGUUGCUAAGAAUUCCCUAAAUUGUAAUGGCCCUCUAAGGAUGUCUAUACUGGUCUUGACAACCCACAAAUGUCACAGCUAGUGGCGCAUACAUCAUGUAAUACUAAAGAGACAACCCCACUGGAGAAAACCCACAGCAACAUCUGGCCUUUUUGCUGAGCAAGAAUAUACAAUGAAACAUCACUGGAUGAACUACCAGAGGUUCAUUCCAUGCUAUUGUCUUUUUAAGCUGCUUUUCUGGUGGAAAAUGUACUGAAGCAGAUGACUGCCAGCGAUGUAAAUACUGAUUCAGCCUGCAUAAGGAAGCUUACACUCACUGAGCUCCACUGGACUUGUGAUGGAGGUAGCAGUCUCUUAAGAAGAAGAUGACAUCCCCACAAGUGUUAAAAACUCUUUAAGAAACAGGAUAUACUCUAUAUAUAUCGAUCUUCCAGAAGAGAAGAAAAAGAGAAAGAAAAAAAAAAAAAGCCAGGAAGACUACCAGGCAUAAACUUCAAUUGUCUCCACCCUCCUCAACCAAAACUCCUUUCCACCUCUCUUCAACUUUUCAGUGUGGCAGAUGGCAACAGAGGAGCAGUGUGACAAACGGCAUCUGACAUGGAAGCGAGUAUGAAGCAAACGUGCGUCAUUGAAUUCCUCCUUGAGGAAAAAAAUGGCACCUAUUGACAUCCAUCAACACUUGCUGAACAUUUAAGGAGACCAGACAGUGGAUGUGAGGGCAGUGAGGCAAUGGGCGAUGCGUUUCAGCAGUGGUAGCAGCAACAUGAAAGACAAGCCAUGUUCUGGGUGGCCAUGCACAGCUGUAAUGUCAUGAAUUGAAGAGUCUCUUUAUUAUCUCAUUGAAGUCAAUUGGUGGACUGUGAUCAGGGAGCUGUGUAUGGAGCUGAAUAUCAGCUUCAAUGCAUUGGAAAUAAUGGUGGUAAGAUUGAAAUAUCUCAAAGAUUGUGCCAGAUAUGUCCUGUGAAUGCCCACACAGGAAGAGAAAGAACACCAUGUGCAAGUUUGUCAGGACCUGUUGAGGCUGAAUAUGAGGAUGAAGUGACUGCUUCCUGGAUCACAUCAUUACCAGUGACAAGAUGUGGUAUCACCACUAUGAGCUGAAGUCAAAAUGGCAGCCCAUGGAGUGGUGACAUCUGAACUCCCCAUUGAAGAAAAAGAUCAAGACACAGCCCUUAGAGGAUAAAGUGCACAGUUUUUUAGGACAGGAAAUGGGUGUUCCUCCUAGAUUUCCUGGAACAUGAGAAACCAUCAGCUCUGACGACUACGUGACAACACUGACUAAGCUGAAGGCUUGAACUUCUGCAGACAGGCCAGAGAAGAAGACAGUCUUUCUCUUGCAACAUGAUAUGGCCAGAACCACACCUGUUUGAAGACCAUGGAGCACACUGCCAAUCUUGGCUGGGCUGUCCUACCAUGUAAUCUGGAUUUGGCUCCUUCUCAGUUCCAUCUGUUCAGGCCAAUGAAAGAUGGACUGCAGGCAGUAUUUUCCUGGUCAUGACAGUGUCACGGAAGCUACAGAAGUAAAACAGUGGGUCACUUCCACUGGUGUAGAUUUGUAUGAACAUAGCAUAGUGUGCGAGCUCUUGUUUAUCACUGGCAAACAAACAAACAAACAAAACAAACAAAAAAACAAAAAAGCAUAGUAAGUGGUGGCAGUGAUGUUGAAAAACAGCAUUUUGUAGCUGAGAAUUUGCUCUUCCAAAUAGUGUUAUUGUGUUCUUUGUACCUGUCAUAGUCCCCAUGGAAAUGAAUAGGAGACAUUACUUUCAGAGCUACAUACAUCUGUUGUUAAAAACUGCUAUUAUGUCUUCUUGGUAUGUUCAGUUUUAGUUAAAAAAUCAUUUAUUUGCAUUUUCUAUUCACAGCAUGUUUUUUCUCCCUUCAAAUUCUCACCUCCAUUCUCUUGAGUCUCCAGUGGAUCCUCUCUGUGAAGUGCCACAUUCAAACCUGUUACAGACUUCAAGAAACUUUAGCAGAGCUUGAUGGAACUAAGUUACUAUUUAAUAUGAUUUUCAGGCAAUAUUUCCAUUUAUAAAGGUCAAAAGGAUGAUUGAUAUUUUGAUGAUGGUAUGAUGUUAUAGGCUCUUGUUUAGUUUGCAUUCAAUCAUAUUUCCUCUCUCUCUUUCUGGACUCCUAAAGAUGAAGAGGAUAUUGUGUUUAUCUUUACGAAAAUCACAGAAUCACAGAAUGGCUUGGCUUGGAAGGGACAUCAAGGAUCAUGAAUCUCCAACCCCCCUGACGGGCAGGGCCAUCAACCUCCCCAUUUACUAGACCAGGUUGGCCAGGGCUCCAUCCAACCUGGCCUUGAACACCUCCAGGGACGGGGCAUCUACAACCUCUCUGGGCAGCCCAUUCCAGCACCUCACCACUCUCCUUGUAAAGAACUUCCCCCUAACAUCCAACCUAAAUCUUCCCUCUUUCAACUUAAAACCGUUCCCCCUUGUCCUGCUAUUAUCUACAAAAUCUAUCAUAUCUAUCUAAAAACAUUCACCAGUUUGCUAUAAUCCAUUUAUAUUCUACUUUGUUGUACAAUAAACAUCUCCUAUGCCUCAGCUUCAUGUCAUCCUUGUGUUUAAUGUGCAUAUUCUCUAACCCAUCUUCCAAGACAUUAAGAAAAAUCAAUAAGCUCAGGUAAAAAAAAAAAAAAAAAAAAAAAAAAAAAAGAAUAACAUGAGAUGCAAAAUAGUCCUAUAGAAUCUUACACCCCACAUUCAUAGAGUCUGACUGUGAUUACUAGUGAUGACUACUUGAGUACUACUUUCUACCAAUCAUGCCAGUUUCAUCUUAAGUGCCUUUCACCAGCUUGCUUAAAAUAAUGCAGUGAGAGGCAUGCUACCUUCUAGGAUCCAGAUAUAAUAUUACUGGCUCUCUUCUAUCCACAAAGUUUAAAAUGAAUAAAACUGAGUGGAUACAAAUUGCUUUGUAUAUAACAAAUCCAGGUUGGCUUUUAAUUAUACCCUCUUUUUCUUAUUGAUCCUUAAAAUUUAUUAGUUUUGUAUCAGUGACCUGCAAUUCCACAGCUUUUUCUAUCCCCUUCCCAUUUUCAAACAGUUUGUCUUGUUUUGGUGUCUGAAGUUUCAUUUACUCUUUGAGUGAUAAUGGCUAGAGGUCCAGUCUGAAAGGAAUCUUUAAGUACUGUAGGAGUAAUAACUUGUAGCCUUGCAAAUAUCUAACUGCUUAAACCACUAUAGCAAGCUGUAUUUCCCUGCUCUGGCUUGACUUCUUGCCCUUUACUUACCAAUAUAACCUGAACUAAGCCUGCAUGUAAGACAUGCAUUUUUUAAGGAAACUGAAACUACAGAGGGAAUCAAUACAGAGGGAAUUUUCCCCAUCACCUAAAAAAAAUCAGCAGUGCAUCAAGGCCAUCCUUGGUAUUCUUUUGCACUUGUAGAAUGAUUUCUUUACAACUUUUAUUUAUCUCUCAACAUAAACACUAGAGUUUCUGAUUUUAGUCGGCCACCUCUGUGCUGUUCCUCCAUGCUGUAAUUACUUGAGACAAUUUACUUUUUUUUCUUCCCCACACUCCUCCUUGUGUUAGAGGAUUAAAAUUUUGCAGUUCAGCCAUACUGAUCCUAUUCCUCUUUCCAGCCUAUCUGCUCAUCAAGAUAGUUUGAUAAUAAGACUAAUUGUAUCAGUCUUUAAACAUAACAUCUUCCAGGACAAAUUGUGUGUAUUAUUCAGACUAAUAUCACAUUACAAAGCUAAGAGGUCUAGAAUCAAAACCUAUUGAUUUACAAAUACUUUACAUGCUACAAACAAAUAAAAACAAAACAAAUAAAGCAAACAACAACAACAAACAAAAACAAGAGCAACAACAACAAAGGAGUAUUUUCCUUUCAUGUUUAUUUUGGCUCUGAGAGAAGGCAGAUAAGGUAGAUAGGGAUUCUGUGUAUGACGGUAAUUCAUAAGCCACCCUGAGGUCCCUGGUUGCAUUUAUACUUCACAACCGAUACCAAUAAAAGUUGUGAAUAACUGACUUUUCUGGGGAAUUAAACUCCAAUUAAUGAUUAUCUAAGUCUUUUUAAACACUAUUGUGUGUGCUGACAAUGUUAACUGUAUUUUCCCAGUCACCAUUUUCAAAACUUUUUGACAACAACAUGUAAAAAUAAAUCCUUUAAAU
ensembl:lncRNA